AGAGUUUGAUCCUGGCUCAGGAUGAACGCUAGCUACAGGCUUAACACAUGCAAGUCGAGGGGAAACGACAUCGAAAGCUUGCUUUUGAUGGGCGUCGACCGGCGCACGGGUGAGUAACGCGUAUCCAACCUGCCGAUAACUCGGGGAUAGCCUUUCGAAAGAAAGAUUAAUACCCGAUGGUAUAAUCAGACCGCAUGGUCUUGUUAUUAAAGAAUUUCGGUUAUCGAUGGGGAUGCGUUCCAUUAGGCAGUUGGUGAGGUAACGGCUCACCAAAACCUUCGAUGGAUAGGGGUUCUGAGAGGAAGGUCCCCCACCAUUGGAACUGAGACACGGUCCAAACUCCUACGGGAGGCAGCA
rnacentral:rRNA from 1 species